rnacentral:rRNA from 1 species
CACGGCGCACGGGUGCGUAACACGUGGGUAACCUGCCCUCCAAAGGGGGAUAACCCGCCGAAAGGCGGGCUAAUACCGCAUGACAUUCCGGUGGCUUCGGCCGCCGGAAUCAAAGCCCGCAAGGGCGUUGGAGGAGGGGCCCGCGGCCGAUUAGCUUGUUGGCGAGGUAACGGCUCACCAAGGCUUUGAUCGGUAGCCGGUCUGAGAGGAUGGCCGGCCACACUGGAACUGAGACACGGUCCAGACUCCUACGGGAGGCAGCAGUGGGGAAUCUUGCGCAAUGGGCGAAAGCCUGACGCAGCGACGCCGCGUGGGGGAUGAAGCUUCUCGGAGUGUAAACCCCUUUCGACCCGGACGAAACGCCCGCAAGGGUUUGACGGUACGGGUAUAAGAAGCCCCGGCUAACUACGUGCCAGCAGCCGCGGUAAGACGUAGGGGGCCAGCGUUGCUCGGAAUUACUGGGCGUAAAGGGUUCGUAGGCGGUGCGGUAAGUCGGAAGUGAAAUCUCUGGGCUUAACUCAGAGGCUGCUUUCGAAACUGCCGUGCUAGAGUGCGGGAGAGGCGAGUGGAAUUGCAGGUGUAGCGGUGAAAUGCGUAGAUAUCUGCAGGAACACCCGUGGCGAAGGCGGCUACCUGGACCAGCACUGACACUGAGGCACGAAAGCGUGGGGAGCAAACAGGAUUAGAUACCCUGGUAGUCCACGCCCUAAACGAUGCGAACUGGAUGUUGGGUGCAACUUGGCACUCAGUAUCGAAGCUAACGCGUUAAGUUCGCCGCCUGGGGAGUACGGUCGCAAGACUGAAACUCAAAGGAAUUGACGGGGGCCCGCACAAGCGGUGGAGCAUGUGGUUUAAUUCGA